rnacentral:rRNA from 1 species
UACGUAGGGCGCAAGCGUUGUCCGGAAUUAUUGGGCGUAAAGAGCUUGUAGGUGGCUCGUUGCGUCGGGAGUGAAAACCUGCGGCUUAACCGCAGGCCUGCUUCCGAUACGGGCGAGCUAGAGUUCGGCAGGGGAGACUGGAAUUCCUGGUGUAGCGGUGGAAUGCGCAGAUAUCAGGAGGAACACCGGUGGCGAAGGCGGGUCUCUGGGCCGAUACUGACACUGAGAAGCGAAAGCGUGGGGAGCGAACAGG